UCCUAGACAGGGGAUCACUAGGCUCAUGGGUCGAUGAAGACCGCA
rnacentral:rRNA from 1 species